UGUGUCUGAUUCAAGUCUUAUUUGUUCUAUUGAAUGCUUUCUACUGACAUUCAUGUGUGUCUUAUAUGGUUCUCUUAUAUUAUGAUAUUGCAUGUGGUGAUGUGGUUACAGUGCAGUUAAAGCACACUAGUUCUUAACAGAGGAAAGCUGGGAUACUUUUAAAAAGAUUUUUGAUACCAACAUGCUUGAAGCGUCGAAGGUAUUGGCAUAAGUAUUCAUUUAUUCUCUUGACAUUGGAUAUCAAAAGAUUAUUGGGCACAUUUGUGAGAGAAGGAAUAUGCAUUUCCUCUAAUAUUAACUUGCAGUUACUCUUGUUGCACUAUCCUAUCUCCUGUUCUUGUGGUAUUUAUGCUGGUUAUGAAUAUAACUUAAGUGAUUUUAGUCUAAAAUUUGCAUGUUCAUCAGUUUUUUUGGGAGUUAAUCAAACUCAUGAAACUUUGGGCCAAUGGUGUGUUGUGUUCAUGUCAUUCGGGGUGAAAGAGAUGGAUUUGGGGGAAGAUGUUGAUGCUGUUGAUGGUGGUUUGUAGUAUGUGAGAAGAGCGAUUACUAGUUUUCAUUCAAUUGUGGUAUGUUUUAUCCUUAAAUAAGUCACUGUGCCUGGCAUUUAAGUUUCCUGCUUUACAUCAUUGACAGGAAUGGAUCGAGGCAUAUGGGGGCAGUUUACUCCUCAAAAUGAUUUAUAAGGCUCUAGAUUAGGUUGUGAAACUCUCGGAGUGCGAAAUUUAUAGUUAUAAUCCAGACUCUGAUGCAGAUCCCUUUCUGGAGAAAUGAUCAAUAGACUAGUUCAGCAUCAGCCAACACAGUACCCAACAUUGGAAGAACUAAGCAUAGGAAUGAUCAAAUUCAAGGCCUUUGAUUUGGGUUGUCAUCAGAUUGCUCGUAGGGUUUGGAAGGACUAUUACGCCAAGGUAUUUGCAUUUAUGUAUGUGUGUAUAUAUAUUUUUUCAAUAAGAAACCAACUAAAAAAUUCAAGUAUUAAUCAAUUGUUAUCACCAGUUUAAUAAGAAACAUGUUAAUUGAUGGUUAGAUGGUGAAAAGACUCAAAAGACAGCAAAAUUUUGCCCAUAUACAUAUUUGCUUGGUUGUAUGCCCAUAUUUUUGCUGUAAUUUUGUGAUGAGAGAAUUU